rnacentral:misc_RNA from 1 species
AACCAUAGAAACCUGCGGAGUACCUGCGGAAGGAUCAUUACCGAGUUUACAACUCCCAAACCCCUGUGAACAUACCAAUUGUUGCCUCGGCGGAUCAGCCCGCUCCCGGUAAAACGGGACGGCCCGCCAGAGGACCCCUAAACUCUGUUUCUAUAUGUAACUUCUGGGUAAAACCAUAAAUAAAUCAAAACUUUUAACAAUGGAUCU